rnacentral:rRNA from 1 species
UAUCUCUGUAGAGUCUGCAUAUCAAUAAGCGGAGGAAAAGAAACUAACUAAGGAUUCCCUUAGUAACGGCGAGUGAAGCGGGAAGAGCUCAAAUUUGAAAUCUUCAAGGUUUUACCUUGACGAAUUGUAGUUUAAAGAAGUGUUUUCUGUUGGUAGUUUUGGUAAAAGUUCUUUGGAAUAGGACAUCAUAGAGGGUGAGAAUCCCGUAUUUGACCAUUACUUUCCAGCUUUGUGAUACACUUUCAAAGAGUCGGAUUGUUUGGGAAUGCAGUCCAAAAUGGGUGGUAAAUUUCAUCUAAAGCUAAAUAUUGGCGAGAGACCGAUAGCGAACAAGUACCGUGAGGGAAAGAUGAAAAGAACUUUGAAAAGAGAGUUAAACAGUACGUGAAAUUGUCAAAAGGGAAGCGUUUGACACCAGUGUUGUUUUCUCGAAAAUCAAUUAAAAAAAGUUGGAUUUUGUAUUGUUAAGACCUUAUCAGCUUACUGUACUCUUUUCUUGCUUUUUUUAAUGCACUUUUCGUUUAACAAGUCAACAUCAAUUUCUUUUGUUGUAAAAGAGUCAUUGGAAGGUGGCUUUCACUUCGGUGAAAGUGUUUAUAGCCUUUGGCUUCUGCAAUCGGAGAGAUUGAGGUCUGCAGCGUAGAUCCUUCGGGGCUAGAUACGUAGAUGCUAAGUUAUAGUUUUUUAUAGACAACUUGUUGACUAUAAUUAAUCAUGUAGCUUACUCGUUUGCGCUAUUUUACCUACGCUUAGGAUGUUGAUAGUCACAGCGUGUAC